UUAAACUAGCAUAAAAAAGAUUACAUAAUUAGUUUGCUCCAAAAAAUUACAAGUAAAAGAGUCACAUUGAAGCAUACACUAAGCUAAAAAGUGAGCUGCUUGAUAACAUUCUCUGUUAGCAAACCUAAACUUAACAGUUUGAAAAGAUCUAGAAAAAAAGGAAAUAUUAUGGAAGAUUUCCGAAACUAUAAUAGGAAUAGCACCUCCAAUAGCAUAAGAAAUAAUGUUCUGAGCAUCUCCCUCAAAGAAGACAUCCUAGAAACCUUUGUUCUUAGCUAAUAAUCUACCUUAAUUCAAGAACUAUGAUAAGUAAAAUAAUGCUAGAUUAAGCAGACAGUUACGAUCAAUAUGUUGGUAAGAGUAAUUAAGUUGAAUAUUAAUGUUCUAUCAACAUAAUUAUAAUUUUAUGCUUUGAGAUUUGGAUUAAUCCUUCUAUCAUCAACUAUAUACAGAGGCAUUUUGAUAAGCAGCGAACAUUGGGGUGGAUGGUUGCUUGCAAACUAAAAUGUUGAUGAGAGAAUUAUCAUUUGUGUUUGAGCUUUUUCGUUCUCUAAUCCCUUUUCUAUCAAACAUCCUGAUUGCCAUAAAUGAAAGAACAAUUUGUUUAGGACAUGGUCCAAUCAAGAGAUCAUGAAGAGCAUUCUAAAGAAAGCAUUCUUUAGUAUAUAAACAUACCAUCAAAAAGAAAUGAAAUUAGUGCCAUUCAAAUUCCUCCAAAUGUUGUUGAGCCCACACCUUCCCAUAUUUCACCGGUUCCUACUUCUUCAGUGUCAACUCCUUCCAUGUCACAGUCCCACCAACCACAACCAUUUGCAUAGUGAUUAUAGAAAGGUCUUGGUUUUUUGUUGCUAAUGAACUUCUUCAGCCUUGUUCUUUGCUUGGGUUCUGAAUCACCUCCCAGAACUAAUGAAUGCUUUCGAAUAGCAUGUUUUUCAUCUCCAUCUUCAAAGGGAUUCCUCCUUUUUCUUGUUACUUGAUCAUUAUUUGAGUUAGAAGUUCCUAAAUCACCAGCAUGAAAUGAACCUAUGCCCAAUUGUGUGCCGGAAGUUCCUAUUUCACCACCAUUGCCGCCAACACCACAUGAAUUUAUACCAUCUCCUUUCUCUGCACUGGCAUGCUUAAACUGCUCAAAAACCACUUCAUCAAUUACAGAAUUCCUUUCUUUCCCUUCUUUUCUUAUCCCAAUCGAAUGAUCAAAAGCCCCACCAUCAUCUCUAGGACCCAGAGGUGACAUAAAAGGCCUCAACUUCCCCUUAACGAUUUUGGGUCGUACGGGAUCUGUGUGCAGCUUACGGUCAAGGAAAUCAGAGAGUGAAAUGCUUAAAUCCUUGUUUGAUACUUUCUUUUGCGAAUCAUCCUUCGAAUUCUUAGCAAGAUUUGAAGAUCGAGAGGUGAAUGAGGAAGGAAUAGAGCGCUGACCCAAAACCCUAAUUUGAUUAUGCUUUGAAUUCAUUUGAAUUUGUUUGGCCUUUCUCUCCUCUUCAGUUUUGGUUGCG
rnacentral:misc_RNA from 1 species